rnacentral:SRP_RNA from 10 species
GCCAGGUGUGGCGGUGCGCACCUGUAGUCCCAGUUACUCAGGAGGCUGAGGCAGGAGAAUUGUUUGAGCCCAGGACUUCUAAGCUGUAAUGCAAUAUGCCACUUGGGUGUCUGCACUAACUUUGGCAUCAAUAUGAUGACGUCCCAGGAGCAGGGGCCCAUCAGGUUGCCUAAGGAGGAGUGAAUUGGCCCAGGAUGAAAACAGAGCAGGUCAAAACUCUGGUGUUGCUAUUUACAGGAGCAAAGACAUGGAAUCAACCUACAUGACCAUCAAUGGUAGACUAGAUAAAGAAAAUGU